UGUUAAGAGAUUUUCAAAUGUUUCAAGUAUUAUUCCCACUGCCAUUUGUACGUUAUUGAAAGUUUAUCUUUAAUUUUAGUGUUAAUAGUUGUUUACCCAUUUAUUCUUUCCAUUUAAUCGUAUUUUUAUGAUUUUACUGUUUCGCUGAAGUGAAGCUUAAAUGAAAGCAUAGUGUUCUCAGAUAUGAUUCACCCAGUAUAUUUCCUCUGCACCUGGUUCUCUACGAGCCGUUUCACUCCCAGGAAGGGGAGAGCAGGACGUUCUUAUCUAUACACUCCCAAAUACAAAGAGGGGCCCAUUCUUCAGAAUCACACACACACACUCUGAGAUCAUAAACUUCACACACACACACAUACUCUGAAACGCUAUAAAUAAAGAACUGCCACAUACGCUGGUUGUGAGCCUGAGACAGCAGCGCCACCCAGCGUGCGCACGUUGUUACCAUCUAAACUGUCUUGAGUGUCUUUAUUUCGCCUGAAGAAUGUCUUGUUUAAAUAUUUACUCCUUACAUUUAUUUGGUCCUUCGAACCAACAGAGUGACCUCGUCGUUUCCUGGAUUCGUGAACCCACGCUGCAAAGUCUGUCAUGACAGCCUGUUUCUAGUGAAACAGUAAAGACCAACUACGUGAAUUCGCCGUUGGCCAGCGUUUUUACCAAGAGGUCCACGAUCCCAGGGAGCGAGGAGGAUUCUCUCUGACCGGCAUUUUCAUCCGAACCAGGUGAAUAUAAACACUCAAGAACACAUUGCGGCUAAAAUCGUUUUUUUAGAUUGACACGGUUCUUAAAAGACUCGUCCUUUAAGGACUGGAGGUCAGGAUCUCACUCUCACGAGUGAAAGGACUCGCCUGUAAGACGGAGUUUGACGGUCCUGUGUGGGGUCACUCCGCAGUUUAAAAGGUUGGAAGUCAGGGAUCUCACUCUCACGAGUGAAUGAAAAUAAAGGGAUCUCACUCUCACGAGUGAAUGAAAAUAAAGGGAUCUCACUCUCACGAGUGAAUGAAAAUAAAGGGAUCUCACUCUUACGAGUGAAUGAAAAUAAAGGGAUCUCACUCUCACGAGUGAAUGAAAAUAAAGGAUCUCACUCUCACGAGUGAAUGAAAAUAAAGGGAUCUCACUCUUACGAGUGAAUGAAAAUAAAGGGAUCUCACUCUUACGAGUGAAUGAAAAUAAAGGGAUCUCACUCUCACGAGUGAAUGAAAAUAAAGGGAUCUCACUCUCACGAGUGAAUGAAAAUAAAGGGAUCUCACUCUCACGAGUGAAUGAAAAUAAAGGGAUCUCACUCUCACGAGUGAAUGAAAAUAAAGGGAUCUCACUCUCACGAGUGAAUGAAAAUAAAGGGAUCUCACUCUCACGAGUGAAUGAAAAUAAAGAACGUGUCAAUUAAAAUAGGAUUAUAGUACCGCGUGUGAAGUUUAUGUGUUGUUGAAGAGUGAGUGACCUUUUGAAUAGAAACAACAGGUUUCUGCACCACUCUUACUGUUUCCUGUGUUGACCGAUGUACUGGUGAGAAGGGGUCAAAGGUUGCGCUUCAACGCAUAAAAUUAAGGCCGCCCUGGGUCUAGACCAGGGUAGAAGGCUGCCUUAAUAACCUCCCCCGACUCUAAUAUCAGCGAAGGUCACACAGAGUGUAUGUUGGCAGUAUUAAUAAAUAAAAGCAAAACAAGGUGUAAUGUUUUAAAGCAUGGAAAGAGGAAUGAAGUGGAAUAAACAAAAGGUUAAAUUAAAAUAGAGCUUAUUUAAUGUAUUCAAAUUGAUAAUAGAAGGAUAACAACCUGUAAACUGGUAUUAACAAUGAAAUAUAGUUGGCAGGACGACCGUGCCUAGAAUGGAUAGAAUGCAUGAAACCAGAUAACUCACACAAACACAUAUUAAAUGAAAUAGAGAGAUGCAUAAGGUAUAUUAAGGUUGUGUCAUUGUUCAGCCAAAGAAAGUGUGUGAAAAGGAAAAUGUCUCCAGUUUGGGAAAGGGUGAGACUGCAGCUCACCCUCAGCCCUUGGUGGACACAAAUAAAAUAUUGUAAUAUACUAUUGCUGUUAUAUAAAAGAUAAUAACAUUAAUAAUGAAAUAAUAUUAAAUAUGAAGAGGCACCUCAGUCAGUUGUGAUGUGAGGUGGAUAAUUGUUAAAAGUAAUCUGUAUCAAGCUUAAGGUUUGCUCAAAUUCAGUAUAAUGACAUAUGAGAUGAAGAAAAUAAAGAAAAUAUGUAAACUAAUUAAGUGCAUAGAGACACUUGACCUGCUUGUAAACCUGUCAUCCUAGAUGAGAUUUUGUUAAGAUGAAGAGCAAACCUAUACUACCAAGCUAAUGAGCAAGAUACACACUUUUUAUUUUGUAUUAAUUUCUUUUGUUUUUCAGAGCAGAAGCUGCAUGAUAUUAAAGCUCGAACAUGCAGCUGUCUGUGAACCCAGUUUUCACCCUCACACCCCUGAUCUGUUUUUAACAGCAGCUUUUUGCAUCCUGUCUCAUGUGUGUAAAGCGUUCAUGCCAUCAGCAACUUGUUUUUGUUUGUUUGUUUUGUUGGUUUGAAAAACAAAUCUGUGAUCAUACUUGAGGAUCACAGUGACACGAAAUGAUUAGGCACAUGAUUUACUGAUGCCUAGUUUUAGAGCUGUGAGCUACGAGCUGUAAGCAAUGCAAAGUUUUUCCCAACUUAGAAGUUUGACGAUGUAACAUGUAUGAGAUAUAUGAAUUAUUUUAAAACGAAAUAGAAAUUGUCCAAAAUGCCUUAAGAAAAUAUGUAGUGCUGUAUCUACAGAGAAAAAAGGAAGAAGACGCAUUCAGUAACUUGAAAUAGCCUUUCUACUUGCAUGUAGAUGGAAGUGCAGGUUGCAUGAAAGCUGUUUUAACACAGGCAUUUGGAGAAAAACAACGUCUGCUUGCAUUUUACUUCUGCAAAUUAGACUCUGUUGUGUGCAGGCCGGUGUAGCUGCAGCAGAGGCAGUAAAAGGUCAGCUGACAUUGUUUUAGGACACACUUUAAUCAUCAAAGUGCCCCAUGCUGUGACUUCUGAAACAGCUCUCUUCAUGCAACUUCAUGCUUGAUGAUGAUAAUUUGAGCCAGCUGAGAGCUGGGUUGAGAGCGAUGCUUUGUUUUAAGUGACAAAGCAGAAAAGUUAAACUUAGUUUGUUUUUGUUUGUUUGUUUGUUUUUAAUACGAGAGAAUGGUAAUGGAUAAGAAGUGAUAUUUUGUUUAAGUGUUGAAGAAAGCUAAAUACUGCAACAUACGUCUAGUGCAUGA
ensembl:lncRNA